rnacentral:rRNA from 1 species
AGUGAACGCUGGCGGUAGGCCUAACACAUGCAAGUCGAACGGCAGCACAGUAAGAGCUUGCUCUUACGGGUGGCGAGUGGCGGACGGGUGAGGAAUACAUCGGAAUCUACUUUUUCGUGGGGGAUAACGUAGGGAAACUUACGCUAAUACCGCAUACGACCUACGGGUGAAAGCAGGGGAUCUUCGGACCUUGCGCGAUUGAAUGAGCCGAUGUCGGAUUAGCUAGUUGGCGGGGUAAAGGCCCACCAAGGCGACGAUCCGUAGCUGGUCUGAGAGGAUGAUCAGCCACACUGGAACUGAGACACGGUCCAGACUCCUACGGGAGGCAGCAGUGGGGAAUAUUGGACAAUGGGCGAAAGCCUGAUCCAGCCAUACCGCGUGGGUGAAGAAGGACUUCGGGUUGUAGAGCCCUUUUGUUGGGAAAGAAAAGCAGCAGGUUAAUACCCCGCUGUUCUGACGGUACCCAAAGAAUAAGCACCGGCUAACUUCGUG